CGGCGUAUAGCUCAGCCUGAGUAGAGCGCUACCUUUGGGAGGUAGAUGUCGCAGGUUCGAAUCCUGCUGCGCCGA
rnacentral:tRNA from 1 species